CAACAGUCACCUAUUUUCUUCUGGUCAUACAACAGUGCUCUGUCUGCCCUCACAGUCUGUGCUACACCGAUAUUAUUCAUGUAGGAAGGCAAUGGUGGGCCACAGAAACUGAUAAGAGAGUCCAAAAAUCACACGGGGCCAAUGUCAACACCAAAUUCCUGAUCGGCGCCACCAAUGUCCAUAGGCGCAAUGUCAAUGAUGGGCAGGCGCGAAGUCUUCUGAGAUCGAUACUCGAUGAUUGUCUUCCCCCACUUGCCAGUGUGUUUCUGGAAUGGUGA
rnacentral:lncRNA from 1 species